GUUAGGGUGUCAGAUAAAUGUGCUAAAUUUAGGAUUUAGCUAUGGGUGUAACCCCCCUAAUA
rnacentral:tRNA from 1 species